ACGGAAGGCAGCAGUGGGGAAUAUUGCACAAUGGGGGAAACCCUGAUGCAGCGAUGCCGCGUGGAGGAAGAAGGUUUUCGGAUUGUAAACUCCUGUCUUAAAGGACGAUAAUGACGGUACUUUAGGAGGAAGCUCCGGCUAACUACGUGCCAGCAGCCGCGGUAAUACGUAGGGAGCGAGCGUUGUCCGGAAUUACUGGGUGUAAAGGGAGCGUAGGCGGGACUGCAAGUCAGAUGUGAAAUGCCGGGGCUGAACCCCGGAGCUGCAUUUGAAACUGUGGUUCUUGAGUGAAGUAGAGGCAAGCGGAAUUCCUGGUGUAGCGGUGAAAUGCGUAGAUAUCAGGAGGAACACCGGUGGCGAAGGCGGCUUGCUGGGCUUUUACUGACGCUGAGGCUCGAAAGCGUGGGUAGCAAACAGGAUUAGAUACCCUGGUA
rnacentral:rRNA from 1 species